UACGUAGGGGGCAAGCGUUGUCCGGAAUUAUUGGGCGUAAAGAGCGUGUAGGCGGUCCGGUAAGUCAGCUGUGAAAGUCAAGGGCUCAACCCUUGAAUGCCGGUUGAUACUGUCGGGCUAGAGUCCGGAAGAGGCGAGUGGAAUUCCCGGUGUAGCGGUGAAAUGCGCAGAUAUCGGGAGGAACACCAAUGGCGAAGGCAGCUCGCUGGGACGGUACUGACGCUGGAGACGCGAAAGCGUGGGGAGCAAACAGG
rnacentral:rRNA from 1 species